CAGAGGUUCCAUCUUCUCUGGGCAGAGUGUCUUUUCCCUCAAGUUACCUGCCUUAGACACUAUGGAUUGCCAGAGCUGACACUUGUCCCUCCACUGGGACACAACAGAGCUUCAUCCUCUACCAGUCCAGAGCCUGGAGUCUUUUCAGGUUAUACAGGUUGGGUGUGGUCAACCUGUAGCCCCUUUCUCUGCUGAAGUGUCUGAGAACUUUUCCUGGAGUUCCUAUUGGUUCCUCCUGCUGACUCCAGCCAAGGCUGUGGCCUGGCUGUCUCUGCUAGGAAGUGCCACCACGGCUGAUUUGUAUUUGCUAUCUGGGAUAUACCAAAUUGGACUGCUGAUGUGUUUAUGAAGUGUUUGCAAGUACAUCGAACUGCCUGCCCAUGCUAACCUGUGAACUAAACUGCUGAUUUCCAGACAACACAGAUGGGAGUUGCUCCAAAGAACCUUUCUAAAGAGGUCUAUUUCCCCCAUAUCCUUUCUUUUCUACUACCUCUGGUGGGUAGUGUGU
rnacentral:lncRNA from 1 species